rnacentral:rRNA from 1 species
AACGAACGCUGGCGGCAUGCCUAACACAUGCAAGUCGAACGAGACCUUCGGGUCUAGCGGCGCACGGGUGCGUAACGCGUGGGAACCUGCCCUUAGGUUCGGAAUAACUCCCCGAAAGGGGUGCUAAUACCGGAUAAUGUCUUCGGACCAAAGAUUUAUCGCCUUUGGAUGGGCCCGCGUUGGAUUAGCUAGUUGGUAGGGUAAAAGCCUACCAAGGCGACGAUCCAUAGCUGGUCUGAGAGGAUGAUCAGCCACACUGGGACUGAGACACGGCCCAGACUCCUACGGGAGGCAGCAGUGGGGAAUAUUGGACAAUGGGCGAAAGCCUGAUCCGGCAAUGCCGCGUGAGUGAUGAAGGCCUUAGGGUUGUAAAGCUCUUUUACCCGGGAUGAUAAUGACAGUACCGGGAGAAUAAGCUCCGGCUAACUCCGUG